ACGAGACGAAGAUGAAGAACGUGAAGCGUUUCUUCGAGGAUGGCGACAAGGUGAAGAUCACCCUGCGCUUCCGCGGGCGCGAAAUGGCGCAUCAGGAUCUCGGCCUGAAAUUGCUGUUGCGGGUCAAGGAAGAGACCCGGGAAUUCGCCAAGGUCGAGCUCGAGCCGCAGCUCGAAGGCCGCCAGAUGAUCAUGAUCCUGGCACCGCGCUGAAGCGCGUGCCGCUUGUUUCACGGAUGCAUGUCAUGCCGCCCCGUCUGGUAACAGGUCGGGCAGGCA
rnacentral:misc_RNA from 1 species